CAUGUGUAGAGCUGUUAGUAGAGCUGGAGACAAUCAGUAGCCAUCCUGUUGAUGUACCAGUGGAGGUGUUGCUUUUUCACUCUUGUGACCCAUCUUCACUCUCAGUGAGUCUGCAAUAAAAGGAGCUAAAGGCUAUUCCCUGACACCAGUGUUAUGUGUACGGAGUUUGGCUGGCUGUCUAACUGAAGUCUCAACACGUCAGUACACAGCCUGAGAAUGAAGUGUAAUAAAAGUAAUGACUGAAUACUGAGAAA